GAUGAAGAACGCAGCGAAAUGCGAUAAGUAAUGCGAAUUGCAGAAUUCAGUGAAUCAUCGAAACUUUGAACGCACAUUGCGCCCGCCAGUACUCUGGCGGGCAUGCCUGUCUGAGCGUCAUUUCAACCCUCGCGCCCGGCUUCUGUCGGGGGCGGUGUUGGGGAUCGGCCUCCCGUCUUCCGGGCGGCCGGCCCCUAAAUGGAGUGGCGCCCGCGCCGUAGCCUCCUCUGCGUAGUAGUGAAACACUCGCGGGCGGAGAGCGGUGCGGCCCGCCGUAAAACCCCCAACUCUUCUAAGGUUGACCUCAGAUCAGGUAGGAAUACCCGCUGAACUUAAGCAUAUCAAUAAGCGGAGGA
rnacentral:misc_RNA from 1 species